CUCUUUUUUCUUAUUUGAUAAUAAAUUAUCCAUAAAUUUUAUAGGCAAACUAUUCUAUAUUCCCCUAAUUUGCUUAUGUUAGCACCCUUCAUGUCUAAAUAAUGUACCUGUUUUGACUUUAUGUUAGUAGAUGGCAUGAAAUAUUAGUCUACACCCAGACUCUGUCAUACCUUUUCCCAAUUUUCCCAGCAGUUUUUGUCAAAUAGUGAUUUAUUGUCCCAAAAGACUUAUGUAAAACACAAAACCCAGAGAAUUAGGUGCUAUUAUUAUUCUCAUUUCCCAAAACUGAAGCAGAAAGAGAUUGAGUGACUUACCCAGGGUCACACAUCUAAUACAUGUCUGAGGUCAGACUUAAACAUAAAUGUUAUUGGUCCCCAACCCAGAGCCUUAUCCAUAUAAAGGCAAAGCAGCUGAAGUUCCAGAAGAACAUAGUAGAAGUAAGUGUAGUAAUUACUCAGGAAAGUGAAGGGAGUUAAUAUCAGGUCAAUUCAGGAAGUCUGGAAAUCAAGAAGAAACUUUAGAGACCUUAUAAGGAAGACUCGUUCUUGUCCUACCAUCCUGGGGAUAAAGAUGGUCCUUCAAAAUACUACAGAACUUUUGAAAUCAUCAAAGAGGUUAAAGGAUGCAAUUUAUUUUCAGGAGAGCUUAAAGUCCAUGGGAGCCAUAUUUGGUAAGGUUUGCCUUCUGCAAACCAGGGAUUCUAUACCUAGAAAUAAAAUAAAGAAAUGGGCCUUAGAAGAACUUGUGAAGCCAAGCAGCCGCCUGGAUCUACCUCCAUCUGGGAGCUCCGUAGUUAAAUCAAGUACUAUUGAAUCUGGAUGGUUCCAAGCAAGAAAAGGGGGACAGUUCAUUUUGGCCUUAUUGAUGAUCCCAGAGAAGGAACAUUGGGAGGAUUAUAAGUUCAUGUUACAGCGUCUCUUAAUCACAGUCCCUUUCUUGGAGAGAUUAAUGUUUCAUCUAGGGACUCUGUGAAAUGCUUUACAAUUUGUGCUGCUAGAUGGUCCAAGGUAGUGGGGGAGGAGGAAUGGAGGAACUGUCAACACGGGCCAGCUUCUCAGUCCCCAGUGAUCUCUCCCUCCUCCAAAUUCCUACAACUCAGUUCUUAAUCUUUCAUUUGGCACUUAGCCAUAAUACCAUCCUGAACUGCUACUUAGCUGGUUUCACACUAAUGUCCCUUGUCUUUCUAACUUUCUGAAAGACGCCCAUUGUGUCCCUAACUUUCUAACUUUCUGAAAGGUACCCACUGUGUGCUCAAUAAAAAAACAUGGUGCAAAAUAGGUGCUCA
rnacentral:lncRNA from 1 species